GACGAACGCUGGCGGCGUGCUUAACACAUGCAAGUCGAACGGUAAGGCCCUUCGGGGUACACGAGUGGCGAACGGGUGAGUAACACGUGGGUGAUCUGCCCUGCACUUCGGGAUAAGCCUGGGAAACUGGGUCUAAUACCGGAUAGGACCACUGCCUGCAUGGGUGGUGGUGGAAAGCUUUUGCGGUGUGGGAUGGGCCCGCGGCCUAUCAGCUUGUUGGUGGGGUGAUGGCCUACCAAGGCGACGGCGGGUAGCCGGCCUGAGAGGGUGACCGGCCACACUGGGACUGAGAUACGGCCCAGACUCCUACGGGAGGCAGCAGUGAGGAAUAUUGCACAAUGGGCGCAAGCCUGAUGCAGCGACGCCGCGUGAGGGAUGACGGCCUUCGGGUUGUAAACCUCUUUCAGCACCGACGAAGCGCAAGUGACGGUAGGUGCAGAAAAAGGACCAGCCAACUACGUGCCAGCCGCCGCAGUAA
rnacentral:rRNA from 1 species